CUCAGAGCCUGUAGAAAUGACAUCAAUAGAUCACUCAUAAUCCAUCAUAUAAAGUUGAUUGCAUUACACAGUUGGGGUUGCAUAUUUAGUGUGUGUUAAAUGUAAAUAAUGGGGAAACUAGAUAUUAUUUAAAUUAAUACAAAUAUACAUCAAACUCUUACAGUGUAAAUUAGUGGAUAUUUUUAAAGGGAAAUGUAAAAGAUUUUUGUCUCUUUCUCAGACUCGUUCACUGCACACAGGUCAUUGUUCAUUAUAUUCAUUGCUAUAGAUACAAGAUAUUGUAUGAGCCAGCUGUGUUUAUCAGUGAAGUAGAAAAGCAGCGCUUCACUUGACUGUUAGAUGAUUCCUUUAUAGCAGACCUGAUGAGUUAGUGAACUAGUUUAUGUUCAACUGAACUAAACAAACUCCCAUUUGACACACAAUCUCUUCAAAUAAGACUGAAGUAUCUGUUAUAGUUCUCUCUGUUCUUUGUGUCAUUAGUGUAAGAUCAGACUCACAUGUGUCCAGCUCUGUGUCUGUGAAGAGUGACUGGUCAAAAGAGGAUCCACCGAACUUCAGUGAGAAAAAAACACCAUCUACCAAAAGUGUAAGAUCAGACUCACAUGUGUCCAGCUCUGUGUCUGUGAAGAGUGACCGGUCAAAAGAAGGUGUGCCACCGGACUUCAGUGAGAAAAAAGCAUCAUCUACCAAAAGAGUUCAGUAUGAGACAUUAGAUUCAGACGUCCAGACUCACAGGAACUACAAGAAUUUCAAAGACAAUCUCCUUGCAGAUCUUCCAGGUAGAAAAACACAUUUUCAAUAAUGUUAACCUGAUUUAUCGUGCUAAUUAGUUUUCUUUUAGGAACACACAAAAAUGUAAAAGGAAAAACUUAUUUUUUGUAUUAUUUCUUUCUUUAGGAUCUUGAAAGCAAAAUUAUCACAUUUCUGAAGAAUGAGCUGCAAAAGUUUAAGAAAAUAUUACAAAAAGAAGACUUGGACUACUUUGUGAAGGACUUUAAUGAGAACAGAUGCAGAACAAAGAAGCAGCUCUUGAUCUCACGCUCUACUUCCUGAGAGAGAUGAAGCAAGAUGAAGCUGCUGAUACUCUAGAAGGUAAGAGACUCUGUUGACUGCUUCCAGCACUGUGUCAGUCUGUUUUCUCUUCCA
rnacentral:lncRNA from 1 species